rnacentral:lncRNA from 1 species
AAAGCCUGACAGGUUUCUCCGGGAAAGUGACCAUCCAUGGAAUGAAUGAAAUGUUCCCUUUCUAUUCCUACCACCAAUAACAUUUUCCCUCGGCCUCAAGAGACACUCACAAAACAAUGGCCCACAGUGCUUUUUAGGACAAGAACUGCAGUUGUGUACUGUGCGUGCAUAGUCCUACGCAGGAGGAAGGCAAUGUUUAAAGCUGCUGUCGCCUCCUGGAAAAAAAAAAAAAAGAAAACUGGGACUCUGAGUCAAGCAGUGUACUGAUCUAGAGGAUCCCUAAUCCAUUGGGAUGAGCCUGCGUGAUCAAUAAGAUGGAAUCUACACUUGUCACAUCCAGGGAUGUAGUUCUGGAGACAAAAUUGCCACCAAAUGUGAACCCUCAACCAAACCAUGAUCUUGUCAAACACCCCUACCACUUUUCUUUUCUCUUAUUAUCUCAUUCCUUUUUUAAUGACAUCAGGUUAAAAUGAGUAUCAGAGGGAAAACUGAAGAUAAUGUAGCAAGACAAUGCAGUUCUACUUUCUCAACUGGAAGAUGUACCAAGUGAGACCCAAAGUAUAAAUUAGCCCCUUCUUCCUAAAGCUAGAAUCACAACCCAGGUCUCCUUCGUGGCACAGAAUUCUUUGACUGGACAACUCUGUGUAAUAUACAGUCUGAGUGGGCUGGUAUAUAAUGAAACACAGUUUUUGCCUUAGGGACGCAGUCAGGCAGAGGUGAAGAGGGGUAAGAUUCUGGGAUGUGGGCUGACUGUAGACAUGUACGUUUGAACACCAGCAAUCAGAGCCACUUUUCCUUUUACCAUUAUUUCCUGAGAAUGAUGAGCCAACAGUUCCAAAGCCCUAGAUUCCAAAAUACCACACCCUAAGGGAUAUUCAUGGGGUCGCAAAGAGUCAGACACGACUGAGUGACUGACCUGAACUGAACUGAAGGAAUGUUCGUGUCCAUUUGUGAGAAGCCAAGGACUGGGAGAGAAAAGAGCAACAGCUGUUUUCUCUCUUCCUCUAGUCUACAAUUUGGUUGAAAGAUAUCUAAGAUUGGAGCAAGGCACAGAUAACCACCUUCUAGUAUGAUCUGAGAAAAACAGUCCUCCCACCUCUAAAAUAGGUCCUCUAGGGACUUGCUGAAGUGCUUGACACAUCCACAUUAAAGAGUCAUUCCUUUGGGACAAAGAAUUAUUUACAUAUUCAACACUGAAGAAAUAUCUACUAAGAAUCUAUGUGCCCAACACAUGUUCUUUAUGCUUCCCUCCUUAAAAAGUGACAAAUGAAUAAAUAACUGGGCUCUAUCCUAAAGGCA